rnacentral:rRNA from 1 species
GAUAAAGUUCUGUGCGCCAUUUAGUGGAUAACUUGGCUCAAGAGCUGAUGAAGGGCGUGGCAAGCUGCGAUAAGCCCUGGCGAGCCGCAUGCAGGCUUCGAACCAGGGAUACCUGAAUCAGUCUGAAAAGAUUGGGAACGCAGGGAAUUGAAGCAUCUUAGUACCUGCAGGAAAAGAAACCAAUUGGGAUGCCCCUAGUAAAGUCGAUCGAAAAGGGCAGAGGGCAAACUGAAUCCCGUGCCGUAAGGUUCGGGAGAUGUGGUGUAUCGGCCCGGAGCACUAAUCCUUUAGGCCAGUGGAAGUGAACUGGAAUGUUCUGCCAUAGAGCGUGAAAGCCGCGUACAUAAAACCGAUGGGAUAGAUUUCUGGAGUCCGUGAGUACCGCGCGUUGGAUAUCGCGUGGGAACAUGGGAGGCAUUAACUUCCAACCCUAAAUACUCCUUGAGACCGAUAGCUCACUAGUACUGUGAGGGAAAGUUGAAAAGUACCCCUGACGGGGAGUUAAAAGCACUUGAAACUAAAUGGCUAUAGGAAGACAGGGCCGGAAAGAUAAGAGGCGCAAAAAAGUUUCUGCGGGCAACCAAUGAAGCGAUUUGUGCCGAUACACGGUCGUGUCGUUCGUCCUGAAGCACGAGCGAGGGACUUAAUGGUUGUGGCAAGGCUAAACCUUUCAAGGGUGGAGCCGCAGCGAAAGCGAUGCCCCGCAGUUUCGAUGAGGGGGAAAGUGCACCAAGUGCUUUUAGUCACAGUCAUCAGACCCGAAACCAUGUGAUCUACUCCUGGGCAAGAUGAAGUCCCGCAUCCGCGGGAUGGAGGUCUGAAUCCAGUGUUAAUCCAAUUGCUUGGGUGAUCUGGGAGUAGGAGUAAUAUGCCAAUCGAACAUGGUGAUAGCGGGCUCCUUCCGAAGUAGCUCUUAGGCUAGCCUGGCUGGAGAACGAAUGCAGGGUAGAGAUACUGAUUAAAAAGUACUGACCCGAAAGGGUUAGCUUUUUUGUCAAACUCCCAAUCUGUAUUCUUCGUAGAAGGUCGGAGUAGGGGCACCGGGGUAAGCUUGGUGUCCUGAAGGGGAACAACCCAAACUCAGGUUAAGGCCCAUAAAUGCUGGUUAAGUGUUAGUGGAAAAGUGUCUUCACCCUAAAACAGUAGGGAGGUUGGCUUAGAAGCAGCCAUCCUUUAAAGAAAGCGUAAUAGCUCACCUAUCUAGGGUGCAGGCCUUGAAGAUUAUCUGGGCUAAACCAGCUGCCGAUACCCGGGAAAACAAGGAGUACUUGUUUUUUGGUAGGAAGGUGUCUUGAAAGAACAGAAGCAAGGGAGUAAUCUCUUGUGGAUCUCUCAAGAAUAUGGAUCCUCGUGAAAGUAAUGUUAUAGAGGCGUGAGAAUCGCCUCCGUCGAAAGGGCUAGGGUUCCUUAGCGCUCAUCGUGAGCUAAGGGUUAGCCGGUCCUAAACCCAGCAGUAAUACUGUAUGGGUGAAAGGGAAACACGUUCAUAUUCGUGUGCCACACAAAUACGUUUUCGGCGACGAUUGCCUGUCUUUUGACCUGUUGGGCUAAGCUGACCACCCUUGUCUGGGUGGCUAACAAGUAUAAGCCUCCGGAGAACCGUAAUGGUGAGAAGGAGGCUAAAGCUUGGAUGGGGAGCAAUCUUUAGCUGAGGCCUGGCAGCCGUGAAAAAAAAGACAGGAAGGAUUUUGUGUGUCCGUACCGAGAACCGGGAAUCGUGCCCCUGGCUUAGAAAGCCAAGACGUCUCAGGAACUUAUCGUGCCAAGGGAACUCGGCAAAUUAGCCCUAUAUCUUAGGUAUAAGGGGUGCCUAUAGCUGCGUAAGCUGUAGGUUUCAACAACGGGGGGAGUCCGACUGUUUAUUAAAAACGUAGGUGACUGCUAGCCCGCAAGGGUGAGAAUAGUCACUGACUUCUGCUCACUGCCAGUACGUGAAAGCCCUUUCCAAGGGGUCUAAGCGCUGGUGAAGAGCGGGCCUAACUCUGAGGCUCUCACGGUAGCGUAAUACCUUGCCGGUUUAUUGCCGGCUUGCACCAAGGAAGUAACGAGAUUCCCAAUGUCCCUGGCAUGAGCCUGAUGAAAUCACUUCCCCGUGAAUAUGCGGGGGAUCUCCAACGGGAAGAGAAGACCCCACGGAAGUUUACUGCAGCCAGAUGUUGCUGUGUGGUUUUUGGUGUGGAGCGUAGAUGGGAGCCUUCGAAGCAGUUUCGCCAGGAAUUGUGGAGGCAAAAGUGGAACACCAUCCUCUGAAAACUACAUAGCUAACCUUACAAGAGGGACACCGUUUGGUGGGCAGUUAGGCUGGGGUGGCACGCCCCUGAAAAGAUAUCAGGGGCGCCCAAAGGUUUGCUCAUCCGAGUCAGAAAUUCGGAGUAGAGCGCAAGGGCAAAAGCAAGCUUGACCAUGUUCCUCAAAGCACGGAACGUGGAAACGAAAGUUGGGCCUAGCGAACGCUAGUGCGCCAAUUAAUGGGGCCCUAGUCUGACAAUGAACUUACCCUGGGGGUAAUUGAGUGGUCGCGGGUAAGAGUCCACAUCGACCCCGCGGUUUGCGACCUCGCCGUCGUCUCAGGUCAUCCUGGCUGUGCAUAAGCAGCCAAGGGUGGAGGUGUUAACUCAUUAAAGACCUACGUUAGUUGGGUUGAGAACGGUGCGAGCCAGUUUGGAUACUAUCUGUUGGAGAUGCGGAGUGCCUGAAGGGAAGCUCCAUUUAGUACGAGAGGAACGGUGGGGCGUGGCCACUGGUCUACCGGUUGUCCGACAGGGCAGUUGCCGGGUAGCUACGCCAUAGCUUAUAAGAGCUGAAAGCAUCUAAGCUCGAAGAAGCCCCUAAAAAGAGGCACUCGUUCCCGAACACUUUUGCUCUACGGAGCAGAAGAAGUAGGGACGAGGACACAGGUAGAACACCUGUUUGAUAGACUGGAGGUGUAAGCGCGAAGCUCACGCGACGCGUUCAGCCGACCAGCACUAAAAGUCCAAGAGAACUUCAUC